ACUUAAUAAUAUUUUGGAGUAACACUUCGGUGUAGUAGCUCGGGGCAGCGUAAGUUGUGGUAUAAUACUCCAGCGCCUUAGCGGUGUAGUACUUGGGUGCCUCGGUGUAGUAACUCGGGGCAGCGUAGUACUUGGGAGC